AGCCACCUGGACAUGACCCUGAGCACUCUGCUCUGGGUGGCCCUGCUGGAGCAGGGGCUGGGCCUGAGGGACCCAAAGGCCUUCCAACCCUUAACCAUUCUGUGAUUCCAUGAGAUGAGACAUGGAGCAGGUUGCAGCCUGAGCUUUUGUAUUCUCCUAGCUCACUCUGCCCUCACUUCAGCAGGCACCGGGGCUGCUUCAAACAGGACACAGAUUUGUCAUCUGUAUUUUUGCUCACCGCAAUGACCUUCAGUCUAUCUCAGAACCUGAAGCACCUGAGCAGCACAGACCUCUACAGAAGCAAUCCAACCCUACAGAAGGGAUGGGAGACCCCAUGAUGGCUGUUCCUGUCCUUCUUGCAUGGAACCAUCACCCAGUUUGCAUCCCAGAUAGGCAAUGGCAGUGUACCUGCCCUAAGCUUGUCCAUCUCUGGGAUCAGACCAGGCUAUGGAGGAUUUGGUUACAGCUUGAAAUCCACCAAGUAUGGAGAUGGCACAACCUGUCAGGGCAGCCUGCUCCACAGGGGGAAGCUCUCUCUUCUUUCCAUCUGAACCUCUCUUAUUUUAAUCUGUGCCUGUUUUGUCUUGCCUUGCGUGCCCUGACAUGAGAGGCCUAGAUCUGCCAAAGUCCUGCAUCUCCAAAAGUCCUCUCACAUUUCAGAAAGCUGUCAUUGCUCCCAUCCUGUGUCUUUUGCAGAGUGAUAAUGGAGGGCAUGCAGACUGUAGUGAAUCAGAGUCCAUGUGUUAUUGCUAGUAUGAAUUCUGCUAUCAAAUUUCUUCAAAAUGGUGAUUUCCUGGCUGGGGUGGGGAGGGGAAACAACCCACUUAAACAUAAUGCAAAGAACAGGACUGUGAAAAUAUAGUUCUAAAUUAAAUCAUUGUGCACAUGUUAUGUCUUAGUAUAGAAAUACAUUAUUGCUAUUAGGAAGAAUACUGGGUGUCUGCAGAAAAAUACAAACAUAUUUCCCAUGUCUCAUUCUUUCAUGCUAAGAUUCGUAUGAACAGUAGUACUCUAAUGGAUCUGUUUUUUCCCUGGUGCCCAUAAGUAGUUCAAUGAGUUUAACCCUAAUCAGAGAAAAAUUCAAAACAGAAUGAUGAAUGCAGAAUUAUUAUUGAUCCUUCACAAGCAUAGAUUAAUUAUUUUGUGUAGCUUAUUUUUCAACUAUGAGUUCAGACAAAAUGCAGAAAUAAAUGCCAAUUACCUUUACAAAACAAUUGUAAUACUGACACAAGAAACUGCAUUUCAAAUUGUUACUACUGCAAAGAACUACUCAAGGACAGGCUCCGCUUGGCCUGUGAGAUCCAGAGCAAAGAAGCUUUAAUUUUUUUUGUCUUCACUUGAUGUUGACCUUAGUUACUAGAAAAUUCUUUGUCAUAAAUUAGAGCAAGAUACCUCAUUUGCAGAGGUUCACUAUAUUGGUUAAAAUUUUGCAAGCUCCAAGCGUACACUCUCCUCUGCCUUCCUGAUCCUCCACCCCAUUAGGCUCCCACAUGGGAGGAAAAAUCUCAAGAAAAGAAUCCCUAGAAUCUUCCUUUGACAAUAAAAUUGCUUCCAUUGUGCCUCUCUGACAGCUGCAGGUAUAUAGAAUCUGAUUUGGUCAGGUUAGAUUUUCUUUAGACAAUCUUCAUCCCCCGUAUUUAUUAUGUCACGUUGCUAAGGGCUCCUUUAGGCAAAGAUUCCCUGUGCUCUAUAAAUAAUAGCCCAGUUAGAUCCCAAGCAGCAUGUUUUUUUACAUAGUAUGAGGACAGUGGUUCACAGUUCAUCAUUUUAAUUCACCACCAAAUUUAUAUCUGAAACUGUCAAAAGAAGCAAGAUGAAAAAGUCCUCAAUUCCUGGUUUUAACACGAUUUAAAUAUAUCUUCUCAAGCAAUCGCUUUUAUCUCAUUGUCUUCAUUAAACACAUUACUUUAUUUAAAAUGUAGUUCCUCUUCCAAUUGUUGCAAUUGUUUUGCUUCUAUAGUAAU
ensembl:lncRNA